rnacentral:rRNA from 1 species
GACAGAGGGGGCAAGCGUUGCUCGGAAUUACUGGGCGUAAAGGGCGCGUAGGCGGGAUGGCAAGUCGGUCGUGAAAUCCCUCGGCUCAACCGAGGAACGUCGAUCGAUACUGCUGUUCUUGAGGAUUGCAGAGGAGACUGGAAUUCUCGGUGUAGCGGUGAAAUGCGCAGAUAUCAGGAGGAACACCAAUGGCGAAGGCAGCUCGCUGGGACGGUACUGACGCUGAGACGCGAAAGCGUGGGGGAGCAAACAGG